rnacentral:rRNA from 1 species
CGGGUGCGAUCAUACCAGCACUAAUGCACCGGA